CCCAGCUGUAGGCAACUGUCUAGGUUUCCUUGUACCUAGGUAAAUGUUAUACUGCUAGGAGAAAAGCAGCCAACAGUUGGUAGGCAUUCUGGGCGUGGUUAAUGCCAAGUUGGUGUUAACUAUACCAGUAUGCCAGCAUA
ensembl:snoRNA SNORA74 Small nucleolar RNA SNORA74